rnacentral:rRNA from 1 species
GACGAACGCUGGCGGCGUGCUUAACACAUGCAAGUCGAACGGUGAAGCGCCUUCCUUUUUGGUGGGUGUGGAUGAGUGGCGAACGGGUGAGUAACACGUGAGUAACCUGCCCCCUUCUUCUGGAUAACCGCAUGAAAGUGUGGCUAAUACGGGAUAUUCUGGGUCUGUCGCAUGAUGGGUCUGGGAAAGAUAUUGUUUCGGUGGGGGAUGGGCUCGCGGCCUAUCAGCUUGUUGGUGGGGUGACGGCCUACCAAGGCGGUGACGGGUAGCCGGCCUGAGAGGGUUGACGGUCACACUGGGGCUGAGACGCGGCCCAGACUCCUGCGGGAGGCAGCAGUGGGGAAUCUUGCACAAUGGGCGCCAGCCUGAUGCAGCGCCGCCGCGUGAGGGAUGGAGGCCUUCGGGUUGUGAACCUCUUUCGCCAGUGAAGCAGGCCUGCCUCGUUUGUGGGUGGGUUGACGGUAGCUGGAUAAGAAGCGCCGGCUAACUACGUG